GGUUCAGUGGUGUAGGGGUUAUCACAUCUGUCUCACAAGCUGCUUGUACACAGGAGGUCCCCGGUUCGAGACCGGGUUGAACCA